UUACAGUCAUAUCACGUUAAAACACCGCUUACCGUCAGGUCGACGAAGUUAAGCAACGUCGAGCCUGGUUAGAACCUAGAUGGGUGACCGUUUGGGAAUACCAGGCGCCGU